rnacentral:rRNA from 1 species
UACGUUGGUGACAAGCGUUGUCCGGAUUUACUGGGUGUAAAGGGCGCGUAGGCGGGAUAGCAAGUCAGUCGUGAAAUACCGAGGCUCAACCUCGGAGCUGCGAUUGAAACUGUUAUUCUUGAGUAUCGGAGAGGAAAGCGGAAUUCCUAGUGUAGCGGUGAAAUGCGUAGAUAUUAGGAGGAACACCAGUGGCGAAGGCGGCUUUCUGGACGACAACUGACGCUGAGGCGCGAAAGUGUGGGGAGCAAACAGG